UUUUAUAAUAUUAUCGACAUAUAAAAUAUAACUUGCACUUUAGAAAAUAAAUCAAAUGUUAAAUUUAUAAAACUAAUUAUAAAUAUCUAAAUUUUUAGAGAAUCAUAAUUAUGAUAGUAUAUAAA
rnacentral:rRNA from 1 species